ensembl:snRNA U6 U6 spliceosomal RNA
GUGCUCACUUCGGCAGCACGUGUACUAAAAUUGGAGCAAUUCAGGAAAGAUUCACAUGGCCCCUGUGCAAGGAGGACUCAUGAAACAUUUCAUAUUUCU